UCCGUAGGUGGAUAAUUAAGUCAGAGGUGAAAUCCUGCAGCUCGACUGUAGAAUUGCCUUUGAUACUGGUUAUCUUGAGUCAUUAUGAAGUGGUUAGAAUGUGUAGUGUAGCGGUGAAAUGCAUAGAUAUUACACAGAAUACCGAUUGCGAAGGCAGAUCACUAAUAAUGUACUGACACUGAGGGACGAAAGCGUGGGGAGCGAACAGGAUUAGAUACCCUGGUAGUCC
rnacentral:rRNA from 1 species